AUUGAACGCUGGCGGCAGGCUUAACACAUGCAAGUCGAGCGGAUGAAGGGAGCUUGCUUCUCGAUCCAGUGGCGAACGGGUGAGUAAUGCCUCGGAAUCUGCCUACAAGUGGGGGAUAACGCUCGGAAAAGGGCGCUAACUCCGCAUACGACCUGAGGGAGCAAGCGGGGGAUCUUUGGCCUCUACGCUAUUAGUUGAGCAUGGGUCGGAUUAGCUAGUGGGUGGGGUAAAGGCCUACCAAGGCGAUGAUCAGUAACUGUUCUGCGAGGAUGCUCAGUCACACUGGAACUGAAACACGGGCCAGACUGCUACGGGAGGCAGCAGUAGGGAAUAUUGGACGAUAGGCGAAAGCCAGAUCCAGCCAUGCCGGGUGUGUGAAGAAGGUCUUCGGAUGGGAAAGCACUUUAAGUAGGGAUGAAGAACAGUAAGUUAAUACCUUGCUGUUUUGACGGUACCUACAGAAUAAGCACCGGCUAACUUCGUG
rnacentral:rRNA from 1 species